AGUGAACGCUGGCGGUAGGCCUAACACAUGCAAGUCGAACGGCAGCACAGUAAGAGCUUGCUCUUACGGGUGGCGAGUGGCGGACGGGUGAGGAAUACAUCGGAAUCUACUUUUUCGUGGGGGGUAACGUAGGGAAACUUACGCUAAUACCGCAUACGACCUACGGGUGAAAGCAGGGGAUCUUCGGACCUUGCGCGAUUGAAUGAGCCGAUGUCGGAUUAGCUAGUUGGCGGGGUAAAGGCGCACCAAGGCGACGAUCCGUAGCUGGUCUGAGAGGAUGAUCAGCCACACUGGAACUGAGACACGGUCCAGACUCCUACGGGAGGCAGCAGUGGGGAAUAUUGGACAAUGGGCGCAAGCCUGAUCCAGCCAUACCGCGUGGGUGAAGAAGGCCUUCGGGUUGUAAAGCCCUUUUGUUGGGAAAGAAAAGCAGCAGGUUAAUACCCCGCUGUUCUGACGGUACCCAAAGAAUAAGCACCGGCUAACUUCGUG
rnacentral:rRNA from 1 species